UUGAGAAUCAACUUUUGCUCGAUUUUCAGAGAAAUGGAAUAAUCGUAUUGCUGAUCUACAUAAGCAAGUUGAAGAAUUGUCUGAAAGAAAAUAUGGUAUGUCUAAACUGGAAAAGUCCUGUAAUCCUGUGUUCAUGAGCAUUUACACAGUGGAGUUACUCUUCAUCAUGGGGGUAUCGUGGACAGGCCCAGGGCUGCCGACAUGAACUUAUGAAUUCAACAGGUGAAGAUUUACAACUUGAUAAAUCAGCUUCGUGAGUUCGAGCUGUAAAAGCCAAGGUCCAGUGAUGAUCCCAUACCCUUUUUUCCAGUUCAUGGUUGAAGAUUUUUUAUGUAGAAG